rnacentral:rRNA from 1 species
CGGCUGCUCAGUAACACGUAGUCAACUUACCCUAUGGACGAGGAUAAUCUCGGGAAACUGAGCAUAAUACUCGAUAGAUCAUAAUGCCUGGAAUGGUUUAUGGUUGAAAUGAUUCGUCGCCAUAGGAUGGGACUGCGGCCUAUCAGCUUGUUGGUGAGGUAAUGGCCCACCAAGGCGAUUACAGGUACGGGCUCUGAGAGGAGAAGCCCGGAGAUGGGUACUGAGACAAGGACCCAGGCCCUAUGGGGCGCAGCAGGCGAGAAAACUUUGCAAUGUGCGAAAGCACGACAAGGUUAAUCCGAGUGAUUUCUGCUAAAGAAAUCUUUUGCAAGUCAUAAAACCACUAGUGAAUAAGGGGUGGGCAAGUUCUGGUGUCAGCCGCCGCGGUAAAACCAGCACCUCAAGUGGUCAGGAGGAUUAUUGGGCCUAAAGCAUCCGUAGCCGGCUCUGUAAGUUUUCGGUUAAAUCCAUGUGCUCAACGCAUGGGCUGCCGAAAAUACUGCAUAGCUAGGGAGUGGGAGAGGUAGACGGUACUCGGUAGGAAGGGGUAAAAUCCUUUGAUCUAUCGAUGACCACCUGUGGCGAAGGCGGUCUACCAGAACACGUUUGACGGUGAGGGAUGAAAGCUGGGGGAGCAAACCGGAUUAGAUACCCGGGUAGUCCCAGCUGUAAACGAUGCAGACUCGAUGAUGCAUUGGCAUAUAGCCAGUGCAGUGUCGCAGGGAAGCCGUUAAGUCUGCCGCCUGGGAAGUACGUACGCAAGUAUGAAACUUAAAGGAAUUGGCGGGGGAGCAG